AAUUAUGGAUAAUUUAAAUUUUUGAAAAAAUGAAAUAUUUAUUUUUCUCUUUUUAGGGAUGUGUCAAUAUUAUUUUAAUCUCAAAUGUAGGAGAAACUCUGAGGAACUGGUCAAAAUGUCCCACAGUUGAGGGAAUUCCAAGUAAUUCUCUUGAGAAUAUCUGCGAUGGGACUCAGGUUAACUGGAUUUGCUGGAAGGUACACAAUGACUGGGUAACCCAGGUAGGAAAUUGUGUGCUAGCUUAUUUAAGUGUUUCCCCCUCUGACUCACCAAUUCAGAAAUCCAUAUUAA
rnacentral:lncRNA from 1 species